AGGACGAACGCUGGCGGCGUGCUUAACACAUGCAAGUCGAGCGGAAAGGCCCUUCGGGGUACUCGAGCGGCGAACGGGUGAGUAACACGUGAGUAAUCUGCCCCUAGCUCUGGGAUAGCUCCGGGAAACCGGGAUUAAUACCAGAUACGACCACUUUAGACAUCUUCUGUGGUGGAAAGAACUUCGGCUAGGGAUGAACUCGCGGCCUAUCAGCUUGUUGGUGAGGUAACGGCUCACCAAGGCGACGACGGGUAGCCGGCCUGAGAGGGCGACCGGCCACACUGGGACUGAGACACGGCCCAGACUCCUACGGGAGGCAGCAGUGGGGAAUAUUGCGCAAUGGGCGAAAGCCUGACGCAGCGACGCCGCGUGGGGGAUGAAGGCCUUCGGGUUGUAAACCCCUUCAGCAGGGACGAAGCGAAAGUGGACGGUACCUGCAGAAGAAGCGCCGGCUAACUACGCGCCAGCAGCCGC
rnacentral:rRNA from 1 species